rnacentral:rRNA from 1 species
GACGAACGCUGGCGGCGUGCUUAACACAUGCAAGUCGAACGGAAAGGCCCUGCUUUUGUGGGGUGCUCGAGUGGCGAACGGGUGAGUAACACGUGAGUAACCUGCCCUUGACUUUGGGAUAACUUCAGGAAACUGGGGCUAAUACCGGAUAGGAGCUCCUGCUGCAUGGGGGGGGUUGGAAAGUUUCGACGGUUGGGGAUGGACUCGCGGCUUAUCAGCUUGUUGGUGGGGUAGUGGCUUACCAAGGCUUUGACGGGUAGCCGGCCUGAGAGGGUGACCGGCCACAUUGGGACUGAGAUACGGCCCAGACUCCUACGGGAGGCAGCAGUGGGGAAUAUUGCACAAUGGGCGGAAGCCUGAUGCAGCAACGCCGCGUGCGGGAUGACGGCCUUCGGGUUGUAAACCGCUUUCGCCUGUGACGAAGCGUGAGUGACGGUAAUGGGUAAAGAAGCACCGGCUAACUACGUG